rnacentral:rRNA from 1 species
UACAGAGGUGGCAAGCGUUGUUCGGAAUUACUGGGCGUAAAGGGCGCGUAGGCGGUUCGUUAAGUCCUGUGUGAAAUCCCCCGGCUCAACUGGGGAACUGCACAGGAAACUAGCGGGCUUGAGUUCGGGAGAGGGAAGCGGAAUUCCGGGUGUAGCGGUGAAAUGCGUAGAUAUCCGGAGGAACACCGGUGGCGAAGGCGGCUUCCUGGACCGACACUGACGGCU